GUGCUCACUUUGGCAACAAAUAUACUAAAAUUAGAAUGAUAUAGAGAAGAUUAGCAUGGACCCUGCAUAAGGAUGACAUGCAAAUUCGUGAAGCAGUCCAUAUUUUU